CCUACGGGUGGCUGCAGUGGGGAAUUUUGGACAAUGGGGGCAACCCUGAUCCAGCCAUGCCGCGUGAGUGAAGAAGGCCUUCGGGUUGUAAAGCUCUUUCGGCCGGGAAGAAAUCGCUCAAGCUAAUACCUUGGGUGGAUGACGGUACCGGAAGAAGAAGCACCGGCUAACCACGUGCCAGCAGCCGCGGUAAUACGUAGGGUGCGAGCGUUAAUCGGAAUUGAGGGGCGGAAGGCGUGAGACGGCGGCGAAGUCCCCGGGCUUAACCUGGGAACUGCGUUUGUGACUGUGGGGCUCGAGUGCGGCAGAGGGGGGUGGAAUGCCACGUGUAGCAGUGAAAUGCGUAGAGAUGUGGAGGAACACCGAUGGCGAAGGCAGCCCCCUGGGUCGACACUGACGCUCAUGCACGAAAGCGUGGGGAGCAAACAGGAUUAGAUACCCCUGUAGUC
rnacentral:rRNA from 1 species